GACGAACGCUGGCGGCGUGCUUAACACAUGCAAGUCGAGCGGAGCGGAGAACGGGUGAGUAACGCGUGAGUAACUGCCCCCCUCUAUGGGAUAACAGUUGGAAACGGCUGCUAAUACCGGCUAGUGGGGGAUGAGUCGAGUCCUAUAAGCUUGUUGGUGGGGUAGUGGCCUACCAAGGCGACGACGGGUAGCCGGCCUGAGAGGUGGACCGUCCUAAUGGGGCUGAGAUACGGGCCAAACUCCUACGGGGGGCAGCAGUGGGGAAUAUUGCACAAGGGGGGAAACCCUGAUGCAGAAACGCCGCGUGCGGGAUGACGGCCUGCGGGUUGUAAACCGCUGUCAGCCAUGACUCGGUAGUGGCAGAAGAAGCACCGGCUAACUACGUGCCAGCAGACGCGGUAAUAC
rnacentral:rRNA from 1 species